CUGAUUUGCCUCAAGAGCACCACUUCAUUAAGAACAUUAUCUGAAGAUCUGAGGUCAGAAGAAGAAUACGUAAGAUCAUGCACUGAAGUUUUCACAGUUACAGC